rnacentral:rRNA from 1 species
UACGAAGGGGGCUAGCGUUGCUCGGAAUUACUGGGCGUAAAGGGCGCGUAGGCGGCGCAUUUAGUCAGGCGUGAAAUUCCUGGGCUUAACCUGGGGACUGCGCUUGAUACGGGUGUGCUAGAGGACGGAAGAGGCUCGCGGAAUUCCCAGUGUAGAGGUGAAAUUCGUAGAUAUUGGGAAGAACACCGGUGGCGAAGGCGGCGAGCUGGUCCGUAUCUGACGCUGAGGCGCGACAGCGUGGGGAGCAAACAGG